rnacentral:rRNA from 1 species
AGAGUUUGAUCAUGGCUCAGAGUGAACGCUGGCGGCGUGCCUAAUACAUGCAAGUCGAACGAUGAAGCUCUAGCUUGCUAGAGUGGAUUAGUGGCGCACGGGUGAGUAAUGUGUAGCUAAUCUGCCCUAUAGAAGGGGACAACAUUUGGAAACGAAUGCUAAUACCCUAUACUCCACUUUGACACAAGUUAAAUUGGGAAAGUCUUUUCGCUAUAGGAUGAGGCUACAUUGUAUCAGCUAGUUGGUAAGGUAAUGGCUUACCAAGGCUAUGACGCAUAACUGGUCUGAGAGGAUGAUCAGUCACAUUGGAACUGAGACACGGUCCAAACUCCUACGGGAGGCAGCAGUAGGGAAUAUUGCGCAAUGGGGGAAACCCUGACGCAGCAACGCCGCGUGGAGGAUGACACUUUUCGGAGCGUAAACUCCUUUUCUUAUGGAAGAAUUUUGACGGUACAUAAGGAAUAAGCACCGGCUAACUCCGUGCCAGCCGCCGCGGUAAUUC